UUUACUUGACACCGUUGACUUUUUAGCACAUGUUUGACCGCUCGUCUUAUUCAAAAAAUUUAAAUAAUUAUUAAUUAUUUUCCUAUCAUUUGAUUCAUUGUUAAAUAUACUUUUAUGCACACGUAUAGUUUUACAUAUUUCACAAAAGUUUUUAAAUAAGACGAACGGUCAAACAUGUGCUAAAAAGUCAACGGUGUCAAAUAAA
rfam:Oryza rufipogon genomic scaffold, chr10